AGUACCAGGUCUCGAGGCAGAGCAUGACGGCGGAUGCGAGGGAGAGCCUGAAGAAGCUGGGCAGGCCGGAGAAGGCCUGCCACGAGAAGCCCCUCCAGGUGAGGCGGCAGCGGCUGCUGGUGACGAUGUAUGCGAACUGGGCGGCGACGAUGGCCCACCAGCUGGCGCUGAGCGUGAGCGAGGCGCCGAGGAGGCCGAGGCCGAGGCGGUAGACGACGAGGUAGCUGAGGGCGAGGUGGGCGGCGAGCGCGGCGGCGGAGAUGUAGGCGCUGGGCCCCAUGAUGCUCUGCGCCUGCAUGAACUU
rnacentral:misc_RNA from 1 species